rnacentral:sRNA from 1 species
GUCGUGAGAUGUUGGGUUAAGUCCCGCAACGAGCGCAACCCCUGUCGUUAGUUGCCAACGGGUAAGCCGGGCACUCUAACGAGACUGCCGACGUUAAGUCGGAGGAAGGUGGGGAUGACGUCAAGUCCUCAUGGCCCUCAUGCCCAGGGCUACACACGUGCUACAAUGGCCGGUACAAAGGGUCGCUACACCGCGAGGUGAUGCCAAUCUCAAAAAACCGGUCUCAGUUCGGAUAGAAGUCUGCAACUCGACUUCUUGAAGUCGGAAUCGCUAGUAAUCCCGGAUCAGCACGCCGGGGUGAAUACGUUCCCGGGCCUUGUACACACCGCCCGUCACACCAUGGGAGUCAGUUGCUCCAGAAGUGGCUUGCCCAACCCGCAAGGGAGGGCGGUCCCCAAGGAGUGGCUGGUAACUGGGGUGAAGUCGUAACAAGGUAGCCGUAGGGGAACCUGCGGCUGGAUCACCUCCUUUCUAAGGAGCUCAGAGGGCUAGGAGGUCAGUUAAAGGCCUCCAAGCCCUCCAUGGCUCUCUAUCAAACACCGGAUGCUCAGCUUCCUCGUGUGAGCCAGUAGCAUUAUUUCUUUUGGGCCUUUAGCUCAGCUGGCUGGAGCGCGCGCUUGAUAAGCGCGAGGUCCCUGGUUCGACCCCAGGAAGGCCCACCAGAAAAGGUAAUGCUGGGGAUGUAGCUCAGUUGGGAGAGCACCUGCUUUGCAAGCAGGGGGUCGCCGGUUCGACUCCGGUCAUCUCCACCAGACGCCGAAAGCGAUGACGAGAAUAUCGCGGCUCAGGCUGCGUUCUCUUUGACAAUUGAAUACGUUGAUUCUCGAGUGUAGCCAAGCGAUGUUCUCCGUAAUUCGUGGUCAAGCUACUAAGGGCGAACGGUGGAUGCCUUGGCGCCAGAAAGCGACGAAGGGCGUGGCUAGCUGCGAUAAGCCUCGGGGAGCCGCAAGCAGGCUUCGAUCCGAGGAUGC